CGCGGCGGCUGGCGUCGGGAAAGUACAGUAAAAAGUCCAAGUGCAGCCGCCGGGCGCAGGAUGGGAUCCGGCUCCUCCAGCUACCGGCCCAAGGCCAUCUACCUGGACAUCGAUGGACGCAUUCAGAAGGUAAUCUUCAGCAAGUACUGCAACUCCAGCGACAUCAUGGACCUGUUCUGCAUCGCCACCGGCCUGCCUCGGAACACGACCAUCUCCCUGCUGACCACCGACGACGCCAUGGUCUCCAUUGACCCCACCAUGCCCGCGAAUUCAGAACGAAAUGAGCUCAUUCUCUAUAUAUCACUCUGUAACUUGUUGUUUUUACCUAGUAAGGAGUCAUGGGCAUCCCACCAGCACUCCCUACAAAGUGAGACCUGUAGCCAUCAAGCAACUCUCUGAGAGAGAAGAAUUAAUCCAGAGCGUGCUGGCACAGGUUGCAGAGCAGUUCUCAAGAGCAUUCAAAAUCAAUGAACUGAAAGCCGAAGUUGCAAAUCACUUGGCUGUACUAGAGAAACGUGUGGAAUUGGAAGGACUAAAAGUGGUGGAGAUUGAGAAAUGCAAGAGUGACAUUAAGAAGAUGAGGGAGGAGCUGGCGGCCAGAAGCAGCAGGACCAACUGCCCCUGUAAGUACAGUUUUUUGGAUAACCACAAGAAGUUGACUCCUCGACGCGAUGUUCCCACUUACCCCAAGUAUCUGCUCUCUCCAGAGACCAUCGAGGCCCUGCGGAAGCCGACCUUUGACGUCUGGCUUUGGGAGCCCAACGAGAUGCUGAGCUGCCUGGAGCACAUGUACCACGACCUCGGGCUGGUCAGGGACUUCAGCAUCAACCCUGUCACCCUCAGGAGGUGGCUGCUCUGCGUCCACGACAACUACAGAAACAACCCCUUCCACAACUUCCGGCACUGCUUCUGCGUGGCCCAGAUGAUGUACAGCAUGGUCUGGCUCUGCAGUCUCCAGGAGAAGUUCUCACAAACGGAUAUCCUGAUCCUAAUGACAGCGGCCAUCUGCCACGAUCUGGACCAUCCCGGCUACAAUAACACGUACCAGAUCAACGCCCGCACAGAGCUGGCGGUCCGCUACAAUGACAUCUCACCACUGGAGAACCACCACUGCGCCGUGGCCUUCCAGAUCCUCGCCGAGCCCGAGUGCAACAUCUUCUCCAACAUCCCACCUGAUGGGUUCAAGCAGAUCCGACAGGGAAUGAUCACGUUAAUCUUGGCCACUGACAUGGCAAGACAUGCAGAAAUUAUGGAUUCUUUCAAAGAGAAAAUGGAGAAUUUUGACUACAGCAAUGAGGAGCACAUGACCCUGCUGAAGAUGAUUUUGAUAAAAUGCUGUGAUAUCUCUAACGAGGUCCGUCCAAUGGAAGUCGCAGAGCCUUGGGUGGACUGUUUAUUAGAGGAAUAUUUUAUGCAGAGCGACCGUGAAAAGUCAGAAGGCCUUCCCGUGGCCCCAUUCAUGGACCGAGACAAAGUGACCAAGCCCACAGCCCAGAUUGGGUUCAUCAAGUUUGUCCUGAUCCCAAUGUUUGAAACAGUGACCAAGCUCUUCCCCAUGGUUGAGGAGAUCAUGCUGCAGCCACUUUGGGAAUCCCGAGAUCGCUACGAGGAACUGAAGCGGAUAGAUGACGCCAUGAAAGAGUUACAGAAGAAGACGGACAGCUUGAUGUCUGGGGCCACCGAGAAGUCCAGAGAGAGAAGCACAGAUGUGAAAAACAGUGAAGGAGACUGUGCCUGAGGAAAGCGGGGGGCGUGGCUGCGGUUCCGGACGGUCUGGCCAAGCUGCGCGGGAUCCUUGUGCAGGGAAGAGCUGCCCUGGGCACCUGGCACCAUAAGACCACGUUUUCUAAGAACCAUUUUGUCCACUGAUACAAAAAAAAAAGGAAUUCAUGAUGCUGUACAGAAUUUUAUUUUUAAACUGUCUUUUAAAUAAUAUAUUCUUAUACGGAAA
rnacentral:sRNA from 1 species